CGGUGACGGAGCCGUACGAAGUUUCAGUCGCGGUCGCCAUUUUCUCUGGGAGUCAUCGGUUCGCCGUGUUUCCUCUCAGCCAGCAGUGUUUUUUUGGGCGAAAGAGCCGCCGAAAAUCUGGGCCAUCAUCGCGCGGCCGUACCCCAAAUGGCUUGCCUGAACACCCUGAAACAGGAGAUCAAAACCCUCGAGUCCGUCUUCCCCAAGAGCCAUGAAAGGUUUCAGAUAAUGUCCGCGAGUGUGGACGAGCUCAGCUGCAGGUUCGUCGGUAAAAAUGGGAAGAAGUAUGAAAUUCACGCCAAUAUCACAGAAACCUACCCGUCAACUCCGCCAGUGUGGUUUGCGGAAUCGGAGGAGACGAGUGUUACGAACGCAGUACAAAUUCUGAGUAACACAACCGGUCGUGACAACCACGUGAUAAAUCAGGUGGGAAUUCUGCUGAAAGAAUUAUGCCGACUACACUCCUUACCAGAACCACCGGACGUGGAGAGGCUCAGAACGGCGUUGGAUCCUCUGCGUCUUGGAGGUGCGGCCGCAGCUGUUGCGCAAAGAAUGGAAGCAGAGGACGUCGAAGACAUCGACGACGACGAGGAAAGCGAAACUGAGGAGGACCUUCACCUGGAUAUGGACGAGGGCGAAGCGAAUGCCAAGAGUAAGGGCGAGGAAAUGGAUCUGGAGCACCUUGCGACGCUCGAGAGGUUGAGACAAAAUCAGAGACAGGACUAUCUAAAGGGUUCAGUUUCCGGUAGCGUACAAGCCACUGACAGACUCAUGAAGGAACUCCGCGACAUAUACCGAAGCGACAGCUUCAAGAAAGGAAUGUAUAGCAUAGAGUUGGUGAACGACAGCCUUUACGAAUGGAACAUAAGGCUAAUGUGCGUGGAUCCGGACUCGCCGUUACACAACGACCUCGUCCUCCUCAAGGAGAAAGAGGGCAAAGACAGUAUUCUUCUAAAUAUGCUCUUCAAGGAGACGUAUCCGUUCGAGCCACCGUUCGUCCGGGUGGUGCAUCCGAUAAUUUCGGGCGGAUACGUUCUAGUUGGGGGCGCCAUUUGCAUGGAGCUGCUAACAAAACAGGGCUGGAGCUCGGCGUACACGGUUGAAGCAGUUAUAAUGCAGAUCUCUGCGACGCUGGUCAAGGGCAAGGCGCGUAUACAAUUCCAGGGAACAGCCGGCGGCGGAAAAGUCUGCACAGGACAAGGCCAAUACAGUUUGGCGCGUGCACAACAGUCAUUCAAGUCCCUCGUUCAAAUACACGAGAAGAACGGCUGGUUCACACCACCGAAGGAGGACGGCUAAUAAUUGUAUAGUGUGGAAGAACGACAAUAUGACGCGUGCUUACAGCUGAGACUUUAAUUCGUUGGCGCAUACUUGCUUCACCUGAGAAUCUUCGCUAAGGCUGUUUUCUUCUGAUCAACGGAAGUCACGGAUCCCGGUACGGAAAUACGAUCUGGAAAUAAUGACACGGAGGAAGCAUCUCGGCAUUGACCCUCCUUCGCAAGAAAUAGAUUGUGCGAAAUCGUAAGGAGCUUCUCUUGCACAAGCUGUCCGAACGACGCCAUCCACUUUAACGGGGCUUUGCCCGUCCUGAAUCAUUCAUAAAUUGUGCAUCAGGGCGAUUAUGGCUGACACGCGUAGUCCUCCACUUCAUUCCCAUCCCUUAACGCUACGGGGUGCCAACGAGAGACUGCUCCCUAGUGGAUGAGACGGCUCAAAAGAAAAUUAUGCCUUCCAUUCUUUUCCUCCAUCUACGACAUUGGCCGAGGAUAAAAUUCAAAAUUAUCACCUGCACAGGGGGACUAAGCCAAUUUUUUUAAAAGGGAAGGAAUAACAGGAUAAUAUUUUUUUUUACCUAUCGUCUCUAUGAUACCAUCGGUAUAUGCAUAUUCUAUAAAUACCUUUCAUCAUUAAUCCAUAUGAUUUUACAGUGACAGGAGACAAACACUGAUUGCCUUCGAUCAAUCCAUUUUAAUGGCCUCCACUGGAAUAUGGAAAUAAAUGAAAGUCAAUUUACCAAGUGUUCGUUAGCGGCACGCAUAACUUCAUCACUAGUGAAACCAAUGCAGGAUCCUAUUGUGCGCAUCGUUCAUAUAACUAAGUUAAUGCGUUUCCCAUAUUGCUACUCUGCCUGCUUGUGUAUUUCCCACGGGAACGACCUAAUGUACUAUAUUCAUGUAGAGAUAACGUGUACCUAAGCACGCCCUGGUCAGCAUAUAUGAUUCGCAUUUGAUACAUCUAAUAGACGAAGCAAGUUCUGUUGGUACUAUAAAUACAUAUUAUACGUAUCUAUAGGGUUGGUAUAGGGGUACCUAUCUGGUGACAUAGGUUAGCUACCAUUGAAACGAGAAAUUCCCAUUGCGAAACCAUUAAUUUACUCAUUAUCGCCGUUUCUCUAAUUAACCGUUACACCCGGUGCAGUCACAAUUCUCUAAGACGAUUCUAAUCAGCUUGCGUUAUGUCACCUGUGAUACUAUACGAGUCCAUGAGAAGUUGAAUCGCCAGGAUCCCAAAUCAGCUCAGUACCAAAUGUGUAUCAAGAUUUUUGUAAGUUUUUUUAUCGUUUUUCUUUUAGGCGAAUAUCGGACGUACGGGACAUCGACUGUGGCGCCUCUAGCGGUAAAACUCGGCAGAGCAAAUCAAUUCUAGACACACGGUGACCCGACGAAUAUGGCUACUUGUAAAGUUUUACGCGGAUCCUUUGCUACUUUUAGCAUGACUGUCGACUAUAGAAUUCAAAUUUUUAAGGUUACCUAACCUUCCUUCCUGUCCACAAUAGAAAGCUUUUACGAUUCGCCUUGAGCCCCACGGGGAUCUUUAUGGCUGGCAAUUCUGAAUCAACGAUACGUCUCCGUCGUGUCACGUGGAUUUUGAUUGUUUGCUCAACCCUUCGCCCCAAGGGGCUGUAUUGUUUGGACGAGACAGGAUUGCGGAUUUAUAUUUUCGCAAUAAAGAAAAAGAGAAAAGAAAAUUGUUCGCUCUUCUGAGUUUCGGUUCGGAGUCGAUCUGGUUCUUUGGCAAAAUUAGUUUCUCAUUGGGUUUAGUCGUCUCGCGAAUUAUUCAUGAAAAAUUAACAGAUUCAUCAUCCUUUCAGUCGCCACGUGUAUAUAUAUAUAGUUAUUUAACGCUAGAGGGGUGGGAUUUCAGAAAGCUUUUUUUUAUCCAUUUUCAUCAUACUUAUCAGUCUGUUUAUACUCUCGGGAAUUUACCUUCCUGCUGAAUGACUCUUCAGAAUUUUGUUGUGCCAUUAAAAAAUCAGAGCCAGUAGUCAACUAUAAAAAAUGCAGUUGGUAAAAGUCAGACAACUAUUGUACGAGUGCCAUUUCACUUCAACUCUUAACUUACCCCUCGCGUCUGGUCGUGCAGAAUUUUUAAACCGAAGUGUCACAAAAAUACAAAUAAAAUUCGCUUAAAAUUCUAUCGACGACUAAAAACCAAAAGCAAUGGUAAUCAAAUAUUUGAAGUCUUUAUAUUUCAUUGGCACGGUAUAUCAUAAAAUUGAAUUACCGAUAUCAAUAUUUUUACUUUUCAGUUUCUGACUGUCCGGAUACUCAAUGUUUAUCGCUACUCUAUGUACAGCACUCGUCUAGUUAUCGUACAGAUUUCAUGAUAACAUGUUACUGUUCGUAUCGGGCUCUAUAUCGAUUUGUCGAAAUGGCACGAUUUGUCCGUUACAAUUUCAUAUACACGGAUCUUUUGUAGUCUCAAAUUGUUACGACCCUUAAGGAUUGAAAGUACCCCUAAUUUCGAUAGAAGUCGAGUACUAUAGCUACACGCAAGGCAGUCACUGUCCAUUUUGGUUUAGCGACACGAAUACAGCCGGGUAUCUUGAAUUACUCUCGUUUCCCUUGGAUUUAUCGAAGUGCUGGAUUUGGCUUUAUCGACGGGAUCGUAAAGAGAUGUGCCAGGUGCGAAUGCGAAGAUCGCGUGAAAUACGUGAAGGAAGUUUGAAACGAUGACAGAAGGAGACGAGGAUGGUCCAAAAUGAGUGAGGCUGUUAUGGGAUGGCUAAAGAGAGAAAGUGAACAUAACCUACACCCCAGUGCGCAGUCUGUUUAAUUAGUGAACAAAUUAAAUGCCAGGACAGCCACAUCCGACAUGGUUGCGCAAUUAGAGAUUCUCCCGGAUACCAAUUCAGGAUACAAAGCUAUUAAGUGAAACAAACGACUGACAGCACCUGUUGAUACUUCGCUAACCGCUAUCCACUCAGUGUAACACGUAUGAAACAAAGUUUCAAGAGGCUGAGGGUAUUCCGUGGUAUUUUACUUAGCCAGCGAGAGGUGACGUCAUUCGAGAAAUUCCUUGAAAAUAAUUCAAAUACUGUUUUGCCAAAUUGGUCGUAUUUGAAAUCGUCGCACGAAGGACCGAAACAUUAUUUUCGUAACGGAGUAUCAAAAUAGAGAUAUUAUUUUCAUUCUUCGUUUUGGCCUCUGGCGCAGUGUACGGUUACAUUUUUGCUUUCGCAAUGCUUCGGGCAAACAUAUCUGAAAAUUGUACACAGUCUAAAAGUAACCAGUAACGGCAAAAUGUGUUGCACCGAAUUUAAGGAUCCGUCUGACGUGACACUAAUAGACGCGGACAAAAGACACUCCGGGAAACCGAAGCCGCCGAUUGAUGGAAGUUGACGAUCAGGAAAUAACAAUUUUUGAUCAUAUUUGGCCCGGUUUCAAUACUACGAGGAUUAAUAUUUCUGCAUUUACUAAGAUGGUCUAAGAUGGAGAGAAGGAACCGUUGGACCCGUAAGUAUACGGAGAAAUGAAAAUAAAGUUUAUAAACUUUUUGAAAAAAAAUCAAAAACCUGAUUAAACUGUGCCUGCUGCUCGUUUUCUUGUUGA